CAGGGGCCCUGAAAGAGGUCCUGGGACUUUCAAACUGCUCAACUUCUGUCUGGAUGCCAAUCACGUACCAGGAGAGUCUAGCUCUAAAGAAAGAAGCUCCGGGCCAUGUAACUCCAGCUCUCAAACCUGAGCUGGGAGCACAGGCCAGCCUAAAGGAUGAAGACCACACAACCUGACGGAGACAGCAUCUUACACAUCUCCGUACACUCAGUGCCUGGGGCAGUCCCUCGGACAUAGCAGGCUUCUCUCGCCAGAACAGCAGACUCCCAGACUGACUCAAUCAAGUCAACUCCACUCAUAAAGUCAAAAAAAUAGAUUGGGUUGGAGAUAAGGGUCAAUCAGACUAUUCUCAACAAGUCAAAAUUUCAAGUCACUGGGGAAGUUUUUAAUCCAGUAAUCCCACUGCUCCAGUGAGUUUCUGAAAGCCUUAGUUUUGGUGUUGUCUGUUUCCAUUUAAACACAUUAGCAGCUGAAAUUGGCAAAAAUCAAACCCCUCCUACUGGGUUGUGUGGAAUACCAGAGGGAUACCUGUCAUUAAGCUCCCUUUGAGAGAAGGAAAGCAAACUAUUCAUAAAAUAAAAAUGUAUUUUCCAAACCACAAAAAUUAGGUGCAUCCCACGCUGGGCAGCAGCCCUGCCCCUGGGACUCAGGUGCCAUCACUCUCGCUAGAUCUUUCUCUCCAGAAGAAAUGAACUCCCAUGGAAAGAAGCUCGUCUUCUAGACCUGAAACUGUGUGACCAGCUGCUUGACACUCAAUCAAGGGCGUGGAGACCAUAAUUUAUUUACCUCCCAUCCUAGCACAGAGCCUUGCUUUAUCAAUAGAAGGGACUAGAGCGAUAAUCUUAAAUAUUUAAAACAAAGAAUUAAGAUUAGCCUUUAAGGGAUGUGCUAGACUGAUGGCAAUUGUGGCCCCAACCUGUUCAUACCUCCCUGUACCCAUGCCCUUGGUAGAGUCUUCCCACAUUGACUCUGGGUUUAAGUCCAUGGGACAGUAACAAAUGUGAUGGAAGCAGACUGGAAAAGUACUUGCACCUUGGGGCUUGUCCUCUUUCUGCCCUUGACUCAUGAGUUGCAUGUGAAAAAGCCCAGGCCAGCCAGCUGGGGGAUGAGGGAGCCCGUGGAGCAGAGACAAUGAGCCAUCCCGCUGAGCUGUCCUAUACCAGCUAUACCGAGUGAGCCCAGCCAAGAACAGCCUCACCUGGUCCCAAACAGCAGAACCACCCUGUUAAGCAUGAUCAACAUGCCUGGCCCACAGAACUGGAAGCUAAAUAAAUAGCUAUUCAGCCUUUAGCUUUGGAGCUAGUGUUAUGCAGCAAAAGCUGGUACAAAAGCUAAUUUUCUUCACAAAAAGAACUCCUACAUAUCUUUCACAUCCCAAAACUCUUCCAAAUCAAUAAGGACCUUAGUCUACAAAUACAUUCUCAUUCAUGAGCAAUUUUGUAUGCUCAGAUGUAUGCUUUCUUCUUCUUUUGCAAUGUCACAAUAUUUGAACAAUCUCCAUGACUCCUGCUGUGCUAACACCCAGGUUCUUUUCUCCGUCGUCGCCGUACUUGAUUAUCAGGAACACUGGACACACUUGAUCCUUUUCUGCUCCUUGAAAUACUCUGUCUGGCUUCAGGACCCCACAUUCUCUUGUUUCUCUCUACCUUACUGGCCCUUCUCCCUCUCCUAUGCUGGUUCCUUCUCUUCUCUCUCUCUCUUAAUGUUGGAGAGCUGCCAGCCUCAAUUCUCAGAACGCUUUCUGUCUAUACCCACUCUUGUGGUGAUCGAAUCCAGUCCGGCGGCUUUAAAAAAAGCUUCUCUUUUAUUUUGAUAAUUCACAAAUCUCCACCCUCAGAUCUAGUCUCUCUCCUAAACUUUAAAGGUAAAUAAUAGUAAUAAUCAUCUCAAAUUUAAUAUAUCCAAAACAGAUUUCCUGCCCUUCCUUUCUAAAACCUCUCUGCUGUCGGCAUUUCAGUUGAGGAAGACCAAAUGAUCUGGUGCUGAGGCCCAAAAUCUUAUAGUCACCCUUGAGUCCUCUCCUCUCACACCCAUGGCCAAUCCGACCCUGCUCACUGCUUCCCGUGUUACCACGUGGUCUUCUCUUAUCGCCUGCCCACAUUACUGCAACACCUCCUCACUGGUCUCCCCACUUCCGCUCUGGACCCUCAAGCCUGUUCUCCACCUGGCAGCCAGAAUGAGCUUUCUAUGUGUCAUAUCCUUUCACUCUCUGCUCAAGACCCUCCAGUGGUCCCCAUCUCAGAGUAAAGCCAAUGCCUUAUAAUGGCUUUCAAGGUUCUCAUGGUCGACCCUAAGAUGUCCACAUGGCUUGUUCCCUCACCUUUGUUCAAAUUUCACCUUCUCAGGUGCACCUGCCCGGCCACCUUCAACCACCGUCAAACUCUUCAUCUCUGCUUUUUUUUUCUCCAGAUUCCUUCCAGCAAACAUUCUGUAUAAUUUACUUAUUUUGUCUAUCGCUGGCCCCUCUACAAGGAAUUAGCUUCUUUGUUCACUGCUGUAUUCCUAGCAUCUAGAACAGUGGCACGUGAGCCUGCUUAAGAGUGUUAUUUGACUUUUCCUAUGCGUAAGGAGUGAAUGCACCGGCCAGUCAUGACUUCUAAGUAUUCUGAUUUCUGGGUCAGUUGCUUCUAUUGUAAAUAAGUAAAUGUUCUGGCAUUGUGGUGUUUGGACAUCUGCCUCAAGAUCGUUUGAUGUGCAUAUGCCCACAGGAGAGAGAUUUGCUCUCAGAGUUUACCGUCCGUAAGACCAGGAGCAGCCCCCAGCUUGUGGAAAACUUACAACCCUCUGCCAACUCCACUACUCCUAGGCUCACCCCCACCCUCAAAACAGACGGGAGCAAAUAAUAGAAAGUCUAUCACUGUGCCCAGAAGUCUAAUAAAAUCUACCGUGUCUAAGAUAUGAUACGCUGCACAUCAGCCAAGCCUUUACUCAUUCACACUUUCUGAUUAGAAGCAAAACUUAGCAAGUUUGAGCAGGUCAUCUAUUUCUGAAGACACAUUAUUAUUGACCGUGAAUGCUAAAUUAUACAGACUCCAGAAGAAUUAUUUUAGUCAUUGUCUAAAAAGUAUAUGGACAUAUUUGUUUGGCAUUUGCAUAAAGAAAUAUUAGAGGGAAACACUAGAAACUAUUCAAGCUGAGAGGGACAGGAUGGGGACAGGAACAGGAGUGAUACUUCCUGUGGAAAACCUUUUAAAUCAUUUUGGUUUUUGGACCACAGGAAUAUAGUUCCCAUUCAAAUAAGAAAAUGUAAC
ensembl:lncRNA